GGGGAUAUAGCUCAGUGGCACAGCACAUGCCUAGCAUGUGUGAGGCCCUGGGUUCGAGUCCCAUUAUCACAA
rnacentral:tRNA from 1 species